UCGCACGUUAAUCCCCGAAUCCGCGAGCUGCAAAUUGCAGGGUAACACAGGAGAAGCCAUUUGGUCCUUUCAUUGUUUUCAGAAAGAGGCAAAGACCGUGUUUAUCAGAGAUGCUGGAUGGAAUCUGAUCAUUCCUCGCUUCUUCUCCCACUUUUUACAGCCCAGAGUCCAGGUCUCUGUUUCUCCCCCACAUUUAUUUGGCUCUAGAAUCUCUGGAAAGAAGCUCUUAUAGGCGUUUCCUGCGAUUGUGUGGCCUAAGCACAUUUGGAUUUCAUCUUGUUCAUCCACCACCCGCGGCGGGACUGACAUCUAUUUUACACCCAGCUCAUUCACACACAUACCCUACGGCCAAUUGAGCUUAUUCAGUUCAGCUAUAGCGCAUGUCUUUGGACUGUGGGGGAAACUAGAGCACCUGGAGGAAACCCACGCCA